AAUUACAUGUUUUAAAAUAAAUCUUUUGGUGACUUUCACCAAGCAUUUGUGGAGCUCCCAGCAUUGCAGUAGUUUGUCAGUGGAGUCCCUGUAUGCUAACAGAAAUAAAUGCUUUUAUCAUUUGUUUAGCUCUAGUUAGUAUAUUAAUAGAAAUGAAUUUAUUUUUUAUAUCUACUGAUACAAAUACUUCAAUAACAGUGUAAAUAUGUAAACAAAAGGUUCAUUAUUACUUUUUACUUCUAAGCCAGCAGAAGUUCUGUGACAAUUGACAUGUAUGCACUGAUUUUCUUGCAUCUGUUUUGAUCUGAAAUAUCUUAUGAAAUUAUAUCUCUAUAUAAAAAAUUUUACAGUCCCUGUUUAUUCAGUGUUACUUUGGUUUUAAUUGUUCUUGUAGGUCACAACUUCAGCAUAAUUCUUGAGUUCAUUUUAUUAUUAUUUUGCAAAUGCCUGCUGAGCUCCUGGAAUACAGAGAAGACCACCUUGAUCACUUAGAGAAUGGGUUCCAAGAAGCUGCAUCAUCAAGCUAAGCUUCAGUCUCCUACAAUCAGCUGUCUUGAAGACAACAUCACAGAAGCUUCAUAUCUAUGGUCAAACCCAACGGCUGAUGGUCAAAAUUACUUAACUUUUCCCACCUGGAUGAUUGGUAAGACCAUUGUCUCCUAGAUUUAGGUGGGUAUAAAGAAAAAUCAGGCUUCCUUGUACAGAACUAUUAGCUUUGUGGAUGAUAUAUAAUUCUCUCCACAGAAGAUGCAAUCAAAUGUUUUCCAUCCUAGUUCAUGAAGACUUCUCUGAGGAGACAUUCUCAUACCGAUUUUGUACUAGAUUUUUUAAAACUAUCUUAUAAACCUUAGACAAUUAGACUAAAAGAAUGAAUUUCUCUGAGACAGCAGGCAAGACUGACCCUGGCAUCUCUAGCUUCUUUAAUGAGGAGCAAAGGCUGAGUAUAUGAUCAAAAAAGCCUUCAAAAGGCUCUGAAGUUUCUGGAACUGAGGUUCAGUUGACUACUUACAAUGUCUAAUUUCUUCAAGGAGAUACUUGAUAUUAUCCUCUGAAAAAACAGAGGCUGUGGACAGCAAAGGUUUGGAUAGACAACACUGAGGGUAGAAGGCCUGUUUGGAGAAAUAAAAUUCUAGACAGAACCUUAUUCACUGGAUGCUCCCAAACAAGAACACAGAGGGAAGAAAGUGAGUAGCUAUGUGGUGAAAAUUAAAAAUCAGUAUAUGCUAAAGGAAACAAAGAUUCAUUCAGUUCCCUCAGUCACCCUGUACUCACUGCAGAUAUGUUGUUUAGUAAGUUCUAAACUGAAGAAAAUAAUUCUGUUAUGAAUUGUUUCAGAAUAAUUGUUCUUACAUUUUUUUCUGCUAUACAUUUUUAAUAAAGUAACCAUAACACAAUAAUUAACACAACUAAGUUAGUAACAUUUACCAUAAACAACUGUAGCGAGGUCUUGGACCGAGUCCGUUAGCAAACUAUAAACUGCAUGUUUGACUGUUGAAGAAGUUUGCAUUGAAAAUGCAUACAGAUACUGGCACACUGAUUUUGAUAAAUCCUACAGUUAAGAUGUGUUUCACAUUCUUUUCAAGCUUUUGUCUAAAGAGCAUAUGCACCUGCACUCUUACAACAAACUCCUGAACUUCAUUUUUCAUCAUUUGUGUAUUUUCCUGAAAGUCUGAAUAUUCUUCUGCUUUCUUCUUAGAGACAUGCUUUUCAAUACAUGUUCUUUUAAGAGUUUCAGUUAGGUCCAGCAUUGUUAAUUUGACAAAAAGAAAAGUGAUGGAAAAUAUGUUCUUAUGAAAGAGGAAGAGUCACGUUAGAGCGACCAACUAAUUCCUAAAUUUUUUUCCCAUAAAUAAAUAUAUAAAUAAUUUGACCAUGUGCUUAGGAAACAAAAAAAGGUUUCCAGAAUACUGUACUGAGUCAAUUAUAUCACUGGUUACAUAUUUGUUUCAAGGGAUCCUCAUGCAUUUGCAAUUCAUCAUGAAUGUUGGAAUCUUGACAAAGUGCUUGACCUAGAGUUGCAGGUAUUAACCAUAUCCCACAACAAAUCUCUCUUCCAUUAAAAGAAAAGUAUGUAUGUAUAGAAAAUACUUUUCUCCCAAAAUUCCUUAAGAAAAACAACUACAAUAAAAAAGAAUCCAUACAACAGUAUUAAUUAGACACACGUCCCUGAUACUCUAAUUCAAUUGGAAGUACAUAGAAGAACACCUGUGACAUGUUUAUGACAGCUAUGAGGAAAUGUUUGUAAGAUAUAUAUAUGUAUCUAUCUAUAUAUAUAUAAAUACUGCAUAAAAUGAGAACCAGUUAUCUGUAAAAUUCUCAUCUGAUGC
rnacentral:lncRNA from 7 species